UACGAAGGGUGCAAGCGUUAAUCGGAAUUACUGGGCGUAAAGGGUGCGUAGGCGGUUCGUUAAGUCUGUCGUGAAAUCCCCGGGCUCAACCUGGGAAUGGCGAUGGAUACUGGCGAGCUAGAGUGUGUCAGAGGAUGGUGGAAUUCCCGGUGUAGCGGUGAAAUGCGUAGAGAUCAGGCAGAACACCUGGGGCGAAGGCGGCCAGCUGGGCCGUCCCUGACGCUGAGGCGCGAAGGCGUGGGGAGCGAACGGG
rnacentral:rRNA from 1 species